rnacentral:rRNA from 1 species
UACAGAGGGUGCGAGCGUUAAUCGGAAUUACUGGGCGUAAAGGGUGCGUAGGUGGUUGAAUAAGUUAGGUGUGAAAUUCUCGGGCUUAACCUGGGGACUGCGCCUGAUACUGUUUAACUAGAGUACUGUAGAGGAAGGUGGAAUUUCCGGUGUAGCGGUGAAAUGCGUAGAUAUCGGAAGGAACAUCGGUGGCGAAGGCGACUUUCUGGACAGCUACUGACACUGAGGCACGAAAGCAUGGGGAGCAAACAGG